CUUGAGGCUCUCGGCCUCGCUUUUCAGCGACGCCAGCGUCUCGUUCUCCUGCAGCCCGUCGGUUGCCAUCUUUGCGCGCGGACACGGCCGGGAGGGAAUCGCCGAGCGGGGAUGCGUUUCUUUUUGAGGUGAUGGAAGUGCUCUGGAAUCAGUGGUGAAGAUUGCACAUCCUUGUACAUAUGCUGAACACCACUGAAUCUUUUUAAAAUGAGUCACACUUGGAACCGACCAGCCAACAACCAACUGACCAACUAGGCAGGAAGGUGAGAAGUUUCUGCUGCAGUGUGAAGGUGUGAAAGCCACUGGCCCCUAAUCUCCUUAUGAUGCAAACUUUGGCAUGUUUGAUCCCAUGAAUCUGCAUCCACUCCACUGAGCAACCCUGGGACUGCAUGUGGUCAGCAUCUCUCAGUGUUGCCCCCACCCCCUUCAGCUGUUCAGAACUGAUCAAGAUUAUAUGGCUUGGAGGAACCAGUGCAUUGACCUUUUCUCCUGCUAUAAUCUAUUGAGAAAGCCUAGCUUGAAACUGCUGGGGAUCUGAAUCAUUUCCAGAGCAUGUGGAGAGGCAGUAAAAGGAAAUGUGACUUGAAAGAGG